AUGGCUAAUCCUUGGCGGCCAAUAAGUCCAAGUUUAACCCUAGGGAAAUAUAUCUCUAUUAGGAAGUUAUCUUUACUUUCCAAACUGUUAAGAUUUGGUUUGCUUUCCAAGUUAUGUGAUCUCUCUAAUCUAUAUAAAAAAAGUAAAAAAAAAGGUACGAUGCUUUUGUCGGAUACGCAUCUCCCUUGUUGCCCGCUGACUCUUGACGGUGUUCCCUACAUUGAUCCCGUCUUGCACAUGCGCCGUCUCUCGGUGCUUGGUGCUCGUCCGCCUGUGAUGUCGUCACCUCCGACGUCUUCUGCAUGCUGUGUUGUACCCUCUGUAGUGACUUUUCUCAUGACUUCCACCGGUGGUGAUGCUCGCUAA
rnacentral:rRNA from 1 species